rnacentral:lncRNA from 1 species
AGGUUUGAAAUGCAGAUGUCUACUCUCUGCUAUCUUGGAUACUUAUAAAGCAUACUAACAUAUUAAAAGUUUUAGGAAGUUUUGCAUCAAUAGAAUCACUGUAGAAAAGUUUGUUGAAUUCAGCGCAACCCUAUGUGAUCAAGAAUCAUUCCCCUUCAUUCUCAUAAAAUAACAUUACCAAGUCAUAAACUUUGGGAAAUUUUGGAUUAGGGCAAACAGAAUUGAAAAUAAAUCUCCAGUGAGCUAAUAAUUUUAUUUUGAGAUAAAAGAAUUUUCUUAAUGCUUUGCCUAUUUUCUCUGCCAUGGACAACAUUACCAAAUGUUAACAUUGGGGUAUAUUUAGUUCAUUUAUAUCUUUGGGAAGACUUUGAAUUAACUUAGGUUGUUUUUGUGAUGUGCUUUUACUGCAUUAAAGAUUCUUGGACAGGUAUACAGAUCUUAGUUGCACAGAAGGGAAGCCAGCAGGUGGGAUGUUUCUGUUGCUGUAUACUAUAUUCUGAAAAUCAGUAUUGAAGACCUCCAAGUUUUUCUUCUUCAAGAUUUUCUUGGGAUUUUUUAAAAAGGAUUUUUAAAUUUUUAUAUAUUUAAAAUUAAAUCACCAAUUCCUACAAAAAUAUGUCUGCUGUGAUUUUGAUUUGUGAUUGCCUUUAAUAUAUUAACCAAUUUGAAGAGGACUGAUACACUAACUGUAUAGAGGCAUCCAUGAACAUGGUACAUCUUUCCAUGUAUUUGAUCUCUUAAAAUUUUUUAGUUUGGUAGUUGUAAGUGUAGAAAUAUU